rnacentral:rRNA from 1 species
GAUGAACGCUGGCGGCGUGCCUAAUACAUGCAAGUCGAGCGAACAGAUGAGGAGCUUGCUCCUCUGACGUUAGCGGCGGACGGGUGAGUAACACGUGGAUAACCUACCUAUAAGACUGGGAUAACUUCGGGAAACCGGAGCUAAUACCGGAUAAUAUAUUGAACCGCAUGGUUCAAUAGUGAAAGACGGUUUUGCUGUCACUUAUAGAUGGAUCCGCGCCGCAUUAGCUAGUUGGUAAGGUAACGGCUUACCAAGGCAACGAUGCGUAGCCGACCUGAAGGCGUGGACGGCUACACGGGAACAGAGACAGGGCCCAGACUCCUACAGUAGGAAGCAGUAGGGAAUCUUACGCAAUGGGGGAAAGCGUGACGGAGCAACGCGGGGGGAAGGAUGAAGGUCUCAGGAUCGGAAAACUCUGUUAGUAGGAAAGAACAAAUGUGUAAGUAACGAUGCACGUCUUGACGGUACCUAGUCAGAAAGCCACGGCUAACUACGUG